rnacentral:ncRNA from 2 species
CAACACUAUAGAGGUUGCGGAUAAUCACGAAGGUACUGGAGUGUGUAUUCACGAUGAAGGUAACGUAAGGAUGUCCGCCGAAAUGUCUUGCAAGAAUGCACUUGUUGGAUGUUGGGCCACCGGGAAAUACCCGCUGGACUGUCUCAAUGAGUUUUACCAAGCUUAUUGAGGAGCGCUAUGUUUUUG